AGGUUGAAUGGUUCGGCCUGGAGCUCUCCAUUGUUCCCUGAUGAACUCUUCCGGAAGUUUAUGUUAGUAGUUUGUUUAGGCGUUGUACAUGCGUCCUACAAAACCAGCAGGUUGGCAUCUUAGGGAGGUUUAAUAUUGUGUAUUUAAUAUUGUGUAUUUCCUUCAUUGAACCAGGAUCCAACCUACCUCAAUACAUUGUGGUUUCUAGUGGUGUGUUCCUUACGUUGGCUAAAAUGGGAAGUUUGACUUCUCAGAUCCUGUUUUUGUAGCUGCUGACUGGAUGGGUUCUCUUCUGACUGACUGCCCACAUGGAAUCAAGAUUCCUGGAUCCGAGAAUGAGACUUCUGGGGGAUUCACAGGGCUUCUUGUGGUGAUACCAAGCAACUAACAUCAGGCAGAAGCUACAUCGAUGAAAUUGGGAAGAUGGACAUUCAACAGGGAUGGAGAGAAGAUGGCUACUGGAUGUUCUCUGGACUGGAUCCUGUAUCAGCAGCAGCAGUGGAAGUUCCAUGUUGGAUCUGGCUAUCAUCAAUAUCAUUUAUUAAUAUCAGAAUACAGACCUUUAGACUAAUGUGAGGAGUGUUGUCCAGUGUUCCUCAGCCCCUUCUGGACAGGUACAUAAUGGGACACUUCACAUUUCCUCAGCCCCUUCUGGACAGGUACAUAAUGGGACACUUCACAUUUCCUCAGCCCCUUCUGGACAGGUACAUAAUGGGACCCUUCACAUUUCCUCAGCCCCUUCUGGACAGGUACAUAAUGGGACACUUCACAUUUCCUCAGCCCCUUCUGGACAGGUACAAAAUGGGACACUUCACAUUUCCUCAGCCCCUUCUGGACAGGUACAUAAUGGGACACUUCACGUUUCCUCAGCCCCUUCUGGACAGGUACAUAAUGGGACAGUCCACUUUUCAUCACAUCCUCCAUGGAAAGUUACAGUCCACUUUAACCACCAACACCCCUUGCCCCCAUAAUGUACAUGGGACAGUCUCACAUUUCUUCUGGAAUAAGACAUGACAGUCAUCCACUCCAGUUCACCCAAUGGGAUUCCAACGGAAUGACUUUUAUUCUACUGCACAUGUCUAAAGGACUGCCUUUCUGUUUAAAACAUCUAUGACAUCACACUGAGCUGCUGAUGUACUUAUUGAACAUGAUACAUGUACUUCUAUUUUCUAAUUCACUAUAUUAUGCUUUUAUUGAAACUUGAAGAAUGCUGAACAGAUCCGUUGAAGAUUUCUGAGGGCACUUCAAUAUGCCACUAUUUCAACAACAUAAAAUAAGCCUGUAUAUUGAGACAUGUUUACCUUCUCAUCGUAUCAAAUGUGACAAUAUGACAGUACAUUGCAGCACUUGCCACUUGUCAGGUCGCCAUUGUAAACAAUGAUUUGUCUCACCUGGAUAAUUAAAUGUUAGAUUAAACAAAUAAUGCAUUGUUCCUCGCCAGUUUUGCAAACCAGUUGAAAUCUCUAUACAAACAGCUUCAAUCCAAACAGUAAAUGUUGACAUGUAUUAAUUACUGCUGU